UGGAGUCAGUUUAGUUCACUGAUAUGUAUAUUACACUGGAUAAAGCACCACGUAUAAAAUAUAGUAAGAUAAUUGAAGCCAGAAGUUGGCUAAUCUGAUUAUGACCUUCGUGGGGGGUAUCAGUCCCACUUUACUAUACUUUUGUAAUACAAAAUCACAGUUUUUGCAUUUUUAUUCGUUCUAUCAACAUUUGAUUCUAGCAAAAUUUUUGUGAAAGGGACAGAACAACCGGCAAAACCUUUUGAUGAACAUUAAUCGUCCAGAUUUGUUGAGAAAAGUAGAGUUGCCAUAUUGAAUAAUUCCGACGAGCUCACGAUCGGAAAUUAUCGUCGUGACGUCCAAAUUCUUUCUCAAACACGAGAUAAUUUUCCCGCGUCGUUCAAGUUAAAAUGGGAACUUCUUCACAUCAUCUCUGCAAAGAAACGACGAUUUCAGGGUUGAAAUAUAUGUCGUUUGUGUCUCAUUUCAUUUUAAAUACGGUUCUACUACUUAACGUACCAAAACGUUUCUGUUUAGUUGUUCCCUUAAAGCAAGCCGAAAAGCUGAAUUCGGAAGCCGACAAAGAGGGUAUGCGUUUGACAAAGACGAAAGCAAGAGACGGGGCGUUGCAGAUUUGUAAAAACUUCAUUAAAGAUGAAAGUCUCAGAAGCAUCUUACCAAGCGAAACGAGCAGGUCGAACAUUUGUCUUGGACAUUUCAUUUGUGUGGUGGACUUAUCGAUAGAUUAAAAAGGCUUCAUCAAGGAAAAUUUCAAAUCAUUGAUAAAGAAUGCUAAUGCAUCAGAGUAGCAAGACUUUGACAACAUGAUAUUGGCCAUGGACCGUUCUCUCAUUUCUUUGAGCCCACCAAAGAUGCAACAAAUUUCGAUUUCAAUGAGUCAAACUGCAAUAAGAGAUGAAGACAAGAAAGAGCGACAAGCAGCUUUGGCUGAAAACCAUGAAAGAUAGGCAAGGUCACAAUUCGUUUGUUGAAGUUUGCUGAAGAAGCCAUUGUCAAUGAAGUUGAAAGCGAUGUGUGGAAGAUUUUCUCCGACAUUUCCACCAGCUGCUGGUUCAGUUCAAGGACAAAUACUCUUCAGCAAGGAGCCGCAAGUCUCUCAUCAAUGUUCAUUCAAUUGCUUCAGGGCAGUAGAAUCAUCGCGAUUAUUUGAAUAGAUUUAUAGAGUAAUAACAUGUACUUUUAAAGAAGAAAUUCUCGUUGUAGUUUUGUCACCGCCACAAACGAAGAACAAUGUUUACGAAGCUCAAAGCCACAUGUUUUUGAUGAAGCAGCCAUUGGCAAUGAACUUUUAACAUGCAAUUGGCAUAGAAGAAAGCGAUCCGUUUUGAAAGUGUUGCUGUUUUCAAAAUUAUUAUUAAUGUUGGCCUGAUGAGAUGAAGACAAGAAAGAGCAACACGCAGCUUUGGCUGAAGAACAUGAAAAGUAAAUUUAAAUAGAAUGUGAGAAUCAAUUCGUUCGUUGAAGUUUGGUGAAGAAGCCAUUAUCGAUGAAGUUCAAAGCGAUGUUUUUCUUCAAUCAAAUGUAGCAGAUAUAAGCUAGCGUCAGGAAUACGUUUAAAAAAGAUCCAACAUGGAUGUAGUAGAGUUGUGAAAGUCCCUUUGCCACCUGUGUCCUUUGCUUCAAUUACUCUCACUAGUUUUCAUUACGAAUGUGUCAUGGUGAUUCAUGGCCAAGAUUGUUUAUGUGUAGUUUUGAUUCAUUCUUGAUGUCAGUUGUUUGUUCAUAUAAUGAUGAUGGGCCCCAUUGUUGUAUGAGCCCACCUAACGGUGGUCAGCUGAUAAAGAUGAUCAACUCUGCACUAAGCCAUCUUUAAGUGAUGAUAUAACUGGGGUAUUGAAGUCCCUUUUCCUUUCCUCAAAGUUGUGUAUAUAAAUGUUACGAUAUUCUUUCAACAUGAAAACAAAUGAGUGGAAAAAGUAGCUACAAAAGAAGAUGGAAAAAGUUUUGUUAUAUGCUACUUGAUUUAUUUCUGUUGUUCUUGUGAAAAUCUCAAUGGUUUUUAUUGGUGGUACUGAUUUUUGGUUUGUUUAUCGAAUGGCACAUUUAUUCAGCUAAAGGUUUACUUAUUGUCUUUGUGAAAGGUGUCGUGAUGUCAAUUAUUGAAAUGUUAACAAUUGCAAGAGUCACUUUAAUGUUGUACAAAGAAAGAUCCAACCAACAUGGAUGUAGUAGAGUUGUGAAAGUCCCUUUGCCACCUGUGUCCUUUGCUUCAAUUACUCUCACUAGUUUUCAUUACGAAUGUGUCAUGGUGAUUCAUGGCCAAGAUUGUUUAUGUGUAGUUUUGAUUCAUUCUUGAUGUCAGUUGUUUGUUCAUAUAAUGAUGAUGGGCCCCAUUGUUGUAUGAGCCCACCUAACGGUGGUCAGCUGAUAAUCAAAGAUGAUCAACUCUGCACUAAGCCAUCUUUAAGUGAUGAUAUAACUGGGGUAUUGAAGUCCCUUUUCCUUUCCUCGAAGUUGUGUAUAUAAUAUAUCUGCUUUCAAGUUCAUAUCAACUUAAACUGCACUCAUAUCAUGAUAAAAAUAUAUGGAUAUUAGUAGAUAUUGUCUAUAGUUGAUUCAUUAUUUGUGUUAUUAAUUAUAUUAUCAAUCAUAUUAUUAAUUAUAUUAUUAAUUAUAUUAUUUCUUUGAAAGUAUUGUAUUGAAUGUGUAAUUAGUUUUGAUUAUUCCGACACAAGUAACAUUGAAUUGCUUCUUUGAUCUUCAUAUUAUGUACUUAUGAUUGAUAAGCCAUUUAUUAUGAUUGUAAAUUGUACAAUAAAUGAAUAGAUUCUACUUUGGACAAAUGCCAAAAUAAAAAUUAAUGUAAUAUGAAUAAAUUAUGUUACUGAA